GCACCCCGCAGCGAAGCGGCGGCUCUUUUAUUUCCCACUGCGUUUCCCCGACGCCGUUUUGGGUUUUUUUUGUCGUUUUUUGUCGUUUUGGUGGUUUUUUUUGGGGGGGGGGCGGUGGGGGGGGGUCACGGAAGGGCCGUUAUUAUUGGGGGGGGGGUCUGUAAUAAUAACGACCCCCCCACACCCCAAUAUCUGACCUAUGGGGGGGGUUGGAGGACCGACAAUAAUAACGCCCCUCCCCCAUUGUCUGAUAUAUGGGGGGGGCAUUUAAAGGGACACUGCGGAGUUUUUUGGGGGGGGGGUAAUAAAAUGGGGGGGUUUAAAGGGAUAUGGGGGGAUAUGGGGGGGUUUGGGGGGGGGGGUCCCAAAAUGGGGGGGUUGGAGGACCUACAUUAAUAAUG
rnacentral:lncRNA from 1 species